UCUUGGGAAACCAUUGCAUCUCUUGCAAAUACUGUUAGUUGAAGCUAAGAAAUGAUAAAGACAUAUUCUCAGCUCUUUUACACCAUGAAUGACAAGUUUUCACUUAUUCACAACAUCAAUAAAUGUGGGUUGCUCAGCUCCAAUAAGAACUUGAGAAAGUUGAAAGGCGAAAAAGUCAAUACAGUUAGUGGCGCAAAAACUUGAGAAUAGUGAAGCUCAAGAAAUUAAAGUGGCAGUUUCAGCAUAUGGAAGGUCAACUAAGAGAGAGGUUGGAAUAUUUGGCGAAGAUAUACUGCUAAUCAGAGAGGAGAAUGUUGUAAAAGAUAUGUAAGGACCAUGAUAAAGGUGUAGCUCACAUGUAUAGGGGAAUCCUCAAUCACUUUCGCAAAGCUUGUGAUUCCAACUCAGCACCGGCUUCACCUUAGCCCACAAAGAAGGGGAGGAAGAGGAAAGUUUUAAAAUUAGAGGCGCCCACUUCAUGUCAAGCUGACAAAAAUGUAGGUUCCAGUUUCCAUGCCUUGAAUGUAGAGCUGCAAAAGCUACCCUCUGAUCUCCUAUGAGUUGGUGCAACCUCUACUGGAAACAGAUGCUGAAGAGGUCGAUGUCGGGAUGAAACACGAAGUGGGACUGAUUGGGUUCAAGUUCAAGUGCGAGGCAACAUUCUGCAGGGUGUACUGGUACCUAGAGAGCUACGACAACAUGUUCGGCUUCAAGGUGGCAGGGCAGGAGGACAUAGCGAAGGACAACCCAGUGGUGAAGGUGGACAGGUUGGACUAUUGGAGCUAUUCUAUCGCCGGUAACAAUGAUCAGUAGGGUCCUCGUCAAUUGCUAUGGUUUCUUGGCUUCUUUAGGGUCAUUCUUUUCUUUAUACGGGGCCAGUGAGGGGAGAGAACAAUUUGGAGGGGCACGUGCCGGGCCACGAGAAUGCCGUAGAAGCUCUUGAUAACCUUGUAUAUUUGUUAAACCUCCCUGCCUCACCACCUACAUCUCAUGAGAUGAUGUCUUCUAUAUUUAAAAUAAAUCGUUAAUUACAUCAUUAAA